rnacentral:lncRNA from 1 species
GUGGCAACUAGGCAAUUCCACUGUGGCAGCAGAAAAACAGCCACAGAUGAUACAGACACAAAUGGGCAUGGCUAUGCGCCCACAAACUUAAUGGACCCUGACAUUUGAACUCCGUAUAACUUUCCCAUGUCACAAAAUAAUCUUUGUUUUUCAACUGUUUAAAGAUGCAAAAAUGACUCUUAGCUUGCAGGCCACAGAAACAGGCAGGCAGACUGGAUUUGGACCACAGGCUGCAGUGUGCCAACUACUGCUGAGCUAGAAGAUCAUAUUACUGCAACAUUGCACUGUGGCCAGUGUCUCGCUGGUGGGAUUUAGGUGGCUCCUAAAGGCCAUGAUGGCUAGUGCCCUCCCGCUCCAGAUGGGACCACUGAGGCCAGGAGAUAAGGGAAUGGCGGAGGGCACUUAGAGUUACUGGGAAAGCUGGGGGCACAUCUGCAGCCUGAAAUACACAAAACUGCUCAACUUCAUGGUGUAUUUCUGUAGCUCUUAUAGGACUAACAAUGCCUCUCUGCUCCGUGUCCCACGCUGCCCACUUUCCACCAUCUCAUUUAACUCUUAGCACAACAUUAUGGCUGCGGCCAGGAUUUCAGCCCUGUCUGGCUGACUCUAAAGCGCAUGUUCUUAGCCCUUCACCCACCGGGGUUCCUAGUGAUGCCCCUGGCCCCUCUGACACUACAGGCCAACUCCCCAACCUCAAGGAACGGCCAUUUUGCUCCUUUUUUCUCAUUAAUUAUUGAAGUGAUACAUGAAGUUGUGAGGAAUAAAAGAUACAGAUAAAAAUGUCAGUAUUAUGCCAUGUAGAUGGUGUGUGUGCAAUAACUACUAGUUGUUUCAGUUAAUUCUUCAGCUAGUUAGUGUCACAGAAUAAGCACCACCCUGGAAAUCGGCCAUUGACUCACUCUUUAUAGGCUUCGUUUUUCCAGCCUCAGGAUUUAGAGCAAUAGAGGGAAGUCACAUGGGGAAAGACUUAGCUCUAUCUCAAGGAGACCCUCGGCUCCGCUC